AUGGUUUCCGCCGACGUGGCCCGCAACAUCGUGGGCAUCAUUGGCAAUGUCAUCUCCUUCGGCCUCUUCCUCUCCCCUGUGCCGACGUUCUGGCGUAUCUACAAGGCCAAGGACGUGGAGGAGUUCAAGCCGGACCCCUACCUGGCGACGCUCAUGAACUGCCUGCUCUGGUUCUUCUACGGGCUCCCUGUCGUCCACCCCAACAGCACCCUCGUCCUCACCAUCAACGGCAUCGGCCUCGUCAUCGAGGGCGCCUACAUCAUCAUGUUCAUCAUCUACGCGGCCAAGAACACAAGGUGGAAGAUGCUCGGCGUGCUCGCCAUCGAGGCGGCGUUCAUGGCUGCCGUGGUGGCCGGUGUGCUCGUCGGCGCCCACACCCACGAGAAGCGCUCCAUGAUCGUAGGCAUCCUCUGCGUCAUCUUCGGCUCCAUCAUGUACGCCUCCCCGCUCACCAUCAUGGGUAAAGUGAUCAGGACCAAGAGUGUGGAGUACAUGCCAUUCUUCCUGUCGCUGGUAAACUUCCUCAACGGUCUCUGCUGGACGGGCUAUGCGCUCAUCAAGUUUGACAUCUACAUCACGAUCCCCAAUGCCCUUGGUACAAUCUUCGGCCUCGUCCAGCUGAUCCUCUACGGGUACUACUACAGAUCGACCCCCAAGAAGGGCAAGAACGUCGAACUGCCCACCAUCCUCACCAAAAACGCCGUUACCAGUGGCAACGUCUCGGUCACCAUUGAGAAAUAA
rnacentral:rRNA from 1 species